UACGUAGGUGGCAAGCGUUAUCCGGAAUUAUUGGGCGUAAAGCGCGCGCAGGCGGUUUCUUAAGUCUGAUGUGAAAGCCCACGGCUCAACCGUGGAGGGUCAUUGGAAACUGGGAAACUUGAGUGCAGAAGAGAAAAGCGGAGUUCCACGUGUAGCGGUGAAAUGCGUAGAGAUGUGGAGGAACACCAGUGGCGAAGGCGGCUUUUUGGUCUGUAACUGACGCUGAGGCGCGAAAGCGUGGGGAGCAAACAGG
rnacentral:rRNA from 1 species